AGUGAACGCUGGCGGUAGGCCUAACACAUGCAAGUCGAACGGCAGCACAGUAAGAGCUUGCUCUUACGGGUGGCGAGUGGCGGACGGGUGAGGAAUACAUCGGACUCUACUUUUUCGUGGGGGAUAACGUAGGGAAACUUACGCUAAUACCGCAUACGACCUACGGGUGAAAGCAGGGGAUCUUCGGACCUUGCGCGAUUGAAUGAGCCGAUGUCGGAUUAGCUAGUUGGCGGGGUAAAGGCCCACCAAGGCGACGAUCCGUAGCUGGUCUGAGAGGAUGAUCAGCCACACUGGAACUGAGACACGGUCCAGACUCCUACGGGACGCAGCAGUGGGGAAUAUUGGACAAUGGGCGCAAGCCUGAUCCAGCCAUACCGCGUGGGUGAAGAAGGCCUUCGGGUUGUAAAGCCCUUUUGUUGGGAAAGAAAAGCAGCAGGUUAAUACCCCGCUGCUCUGACGGUACCCAAAGAAUAAGCACCGGCUAACUUCGUG
rnacentral:rRNA from 1 species